GACGUAGGGCGCGAGCGUUGUCCGGAUUUAUUGGGCGUAAAGAGCUCGUAGGCGGCUUGUCGCGUCGACCGUGAAAACUCGCAGCUCAACUGCGAGCCUGCGGUCGAUACGGGCAGGCUAGAGUUCGGUAGGGGAGACUGGAAUUCCUGGUGUAGCGGUGAAAUGCGCAGAUAUCGGGAAGAACACCCGUGGCGAAGGCGGCACUCUGGGACGGUACUGACGCUGAGACGCGAAAGCGUGGGGAGCGAACAGG
rnacentral:rRNA from 1 species